rnacentral:rRNA from 1 species
ACGUAGGGGGCAAGCGUUAUCCGGAUUUACUGGGUGUAAAGGGAGCGUAGACGGCACGGCAAGCCAGAUGUGAAAGCCCGGGGCUCAACCCUGGGACUGCAUUUGGAACUGCUGAGCUAGAGUGUCGGAGAGGCAAGUGGAAUUCCUAGUGUAGCGGUGAAAUGCGUAGAUAUUAGGAGGAACACCAGUGGCGAAGGCGGCUUGCUGGACGAUGACUGACGUUGAGGCUCGAAAGCGUGGGGAGCAAACAG